UACAGAGGGUGCGAACGUUGUUCGGAAUCACUGGGCGUAAAGCGGGUGUAGGCGGCUUGGCAAGUCGGGUGUGAAAUCCCAGGGCUCAACCCUGGACGUGCACUCGAAACUGCUGAGCUCGAGUCCUGGAGAGGAAGGUGGAAUGCUUGGUGUAGAGGUGAAAUUCGUAGAUAUCAAGCGGAACACCGGUGGCGAAGGCGGCCUUCUGGACAGUGACUGACGCUGAGACCCGAAAGCGUGGGGAGCAAACAGG
rnacentral:misc_RNA from 1 species